rnacentral:misc_RNA from 1 species
CUGCAGCAUUUGAGAACUGUUUGAUUGUGAAACCAACUGCUCUGAACUUGGUGAAGGUCUUAUCAGAUUGUUAGUAACAACUGGGUUGCCAAGCCCUUGUCUCAUCAUUUCUUUAGGAUUAUUAUUAUUUGUUUCUGAGUGUGAGGACUCCCUCAAUGCACGAAUCAUAUCAAGACGCUUCUUAUGGAGAUCACUUGAUAAAGGUUUUCUCUGGAAGUUUCUUUCUUCAGUUGAAAAUCCAGGAACUGUCAGAUGCCAAUUCUUCUCUAAGUGUAGCAAUAAAUCCUUGGACUCUAAAAUUGAAGAUUUUCGGUGCUUGGCCAAACUGCAUGCAAACAUAGUCGCAGAAUCAAUAAAGUCAUCAGCAAUCUCCAAAAGAAGAUCUUCAACUUCAGGAUCUAGCUUCCCCUGUGAAUCUACCUGUGAAACCAAGUCCUGUAUCUUUCUCUUCCCAAG